GUAUAGGCGAUAGAAAUUUUAUCCUGGCGCUAUAGACACAGUACCGUAAGGGAAAGAUGAAAAAGAUUAACCAAGCACAAAAUAGCAAGCACUCACCCCUAUACCUUCUGCAUAAUGAAACAGUUUCGCAAAGAGAACUAAAGCCAAAUUCCCCGAAACCAGACGAAAACUAAAACCAAAUUCCCCAAAAACAGCUAAAAGAGCACACCCGUCUAUGUAGCAAAAUAGUGGGAAGAUUUAUGGGUAGAGGUGACAAGCCUACCGAGCCUGGUGAUAGCUGGUUAUCCAAGAUAGAAUCUUAGUUCAACCUUAAGUUUACCUACAGAAUCACUUAAUUCCCCCAUAAGCUUAAUUGUUAGUCUAAAGAGGGACAGCUCUUUAGACACUAGGAAAAACCUUACAUAGAGAGUAAAAAUAACCCAGUUCUCAUAGUUGGCCCAAAAGCAGCCAUCAAUUAAGAAAGUGUUCAAGCUCAACAUAAUUAUCUUAAAAAAAUCUCAAACAUUCUACUGAACUCCUCACAUCACAUUGGAUUAACAUGAGUAUUUUCUCCACUGCAUAAGCCUACAUCCGACUGAAAAACUUCACUGAUACUUAACAGCCUAAUGUCAAUAAAUACAAACAAAGUCAAUAUUAUUCAUACUGUUAACCCAACACAGGCAUGCUUUAAAGGAAAGGUUAAAAAAGUAAAAGGAACUCGGCAAACUUAACCCCGCCUAUUUACCAAAAACAUCACCUCUAGCAUUACCAGUAUUAGAGGCACCGCCUGCCCAGUGACACAUGUUUAAUGGCCGUGGUACCCUGACCGUGCAAAGGUAGCAUAAUCACUUGUUCCUUAAAUAGGGACUCGCAUGAAUGGCACCACGAGGGUUCAACUGUCUCUUACUUUCAACCAGUGAAAUUGACCUGCCCGUGAAGAGGCGGGCAUAAAACAAUAAGACGAGAAGACCCUAUGGAGCUUUAAUUUACUAACGCAAUCAAAAUCAUACAAAUCUGCAGACUUUAAACUACUACACCUGCAUUAAAAAUUUUGGUAGGGGUGACCUCGGAGCAUAACUAAACCUCCGAACAACCUAUGCUAAGGCUACACAAGCCAAAGCGAGUCAACAUCCAUAAUUGAUCCAAUAACUUGACCAACGGAACAAGUUACCCUAGGGAUAACAGCGCAAUCCUAUUCUAGAGUCCAUAUCGACAAUAGGGUUUACGACCUCGAUGUUGGAUCAGGACAUCCUAAUGGUGCAGCAGCUAUCAAGGGUUCGUUUGUUCAACGAUUAAAGUCCUACGUGAUCUGAGUUCAGACCGGAGCAAUCCAGGUCGGUUUCUAUCUAUUCUAUAUUUCUCCCUGUACGA
rnacentral:rRNA from 1 species